GUGUACUUCAUCAAGUUCAGGCCAGCAUCAGUUUGAGUGGUUAGAUAAAGGCUUAGAGAAUGUGGCCCUCUUCGGGGGGUGUUAUAGCUCUAGGUGCAAUGUAGCCUACUUGGACUGAGGACCGCGCUUCGGCUAGGAUGCUGGCGUAAUGGUUGUAAGCGA
rnacentral:rRNA from 1 species